rnacentral:rRNA from 1 species
ACGGCUCAGUAACACGUAGUCAACCUAACUCGUGGACGUGGAUAACCUCGGGAAACUGAGAAUAAACCACGAUAGAUCAUAGUGCCUGGAAUGGCUUAUGGUCCAAACAGUUUACUGCCAUGGGAUGGGACUGCGGCCUAUCAGCUUGUUGGUGAGGUAAUGGCCCACCAAGGCGAUUACAGGUACGGGCUCUGAGAGGAGUAGCCCGGAGAUGGGUACUGAGACACGGACCCAGGCCCUAUGGGGCGCAGCAGGCGAGAAACCUUAGCAAUGUGCGAAAGCACGACUGGGUCAGUCCGAGUGAUUCCUGAUAAAGGAGUCUUUUGCCUGUCCUAAAAGCACAGGUGAAUAAGGGGUGGGCAAGUCUGGUGUCAGCCGCCGCGGUAAUACCAGCACCUCGAGUGGUCAGGACGUUUAUUGGGCCUAAAGCAUCCGUAGCCGGCUCUGCAAGUCUUCGGUUAAAUCCACCUGCUCAACAGAUGGGCCGCUGGAGAUACUACAGAGCUAGGGAGUGGGAGAGGCAGACGGUAUUCAGUGGGUAGGGGUAAAAUCCUCUGAUCCAUUGAGGACCACCAGUGGCGAAGGCGGUCUGCCAGAACACGUUCGACGGUGAGGGAUGAAAGCUGGGGGAGCAAACCGGAUUAGAUACCCGGGUAGUCCCAGCUGUAAACGAUGCAAACUCGGUGAUGCAUUGGCUUAUGGCCAAUGCAGUGCCGCAGGGAAGCCGUUAAGUUUGCCGCCUGGGAAGUACGGACGCAAGUUCUGAAACUUAAAGGAAUUGGCGGGGGAGCAC